GUUAAAUUGUCAAAAGUACAUCUAACUAUGGGUGAUAAUUUCAAUUACAAUCUUAAACUAUGGAUUUUGUGUUUGUUUAUGUGUUGCUUGAGUGGAUAAACUUAAACACACGUAACUAAAAUUGAGGAUGGGUUAGCAAAAAAAUCAUAAACAAAAUAACAAAAAUCUGUGGGUAUAGAGUUCAAAAGAGGAAAACGAAACGACAACAUGUAUAGUCUAUGGAUGCAUUAAGUCUAUUUUUUCUCUAUCUAUGUAUUUAGAUCUUUUCAUAUAAGCAAAUACAAACUUUUCAGUCUGCCAAAAUUGUUUUGAAACAAAUUUCAAAAUUUUGGGAAUAUAAUUGAAACCAA
rnacentral:misc_RNA from 1 species